UACGUAGGUGACCAGCGUUGUCCGGAUUUACUGGGCGUAAAGAGCGCGCAGGCGGUCGUUCAAGUCGAGUGUGAAAGCCCCCGGCUCAACUGGGGAGGGUCAUUCGAUACUGAUCGACUCGAAGGCAGGAGAGGGAAGUGGAAUUCCCGGUGUAGUGGUGAAAUGCGUAGAUAUCGGGAGGAACACCCGUGGCGAAGGCGGCCAGCUGGGAUACACCUGACGCUGAGACACGAAGGCGUGGGGAGCGAACGGG
rnacentral:rRNA from 1 species